rnacentral:rRNA from 1 species
CGGCGAAUGGGUGAGUAACACGUGGGCAACCUACCCAGAAGACCGGGAUAACGGCUCGAAAGGGCCGCUAAUACCGGAUAAUGUCGGGGUACCGCAUGGUACUCCGAAGAAAGGGGAAACCCGCUUUUGGAUGGGCCCGCGUCCCAUCAGCUAGUUGGUGAGGUAACGGCUCACCAAGGCGACGACGGGUAGCCGGUCUGGGAGGAUGGUCGGCCACACUGGGACUGAGACACGGCCCAGACUCCUACGGGAGGCAGCAGUUGGGAAUCUUGGGCAAUGGGCGAAAGCCUGACCCAGCGACGCCGCGUGAGGGAAGAAGGCCUUCGGGUCGUAAACCUCUGUCAUGGGGGAAGAAGCAAGUGACGGUACCCCAAGAGGAAGCCCCUGCUAACUACGUGCCAGCAGCCGCGGUAAUACGUAGGGGGCGAGCGUUGUCCGGAUUUACUGGGCGUA